rnacentral:rRNA from 1 species
AGUGGGGGAUAACAUUCCGAAAGGAGUGCUAAUACCGCAUGACAUCCUGCCUUUGAACAGGCGGUGAUUAAAGCCGGGGAUCGCAAGACCUGGCGCUUGAAGAGGGGCCCGCGUCCGAUUAGCUAGUUGGCGGGGUAAUGGCCCACCAAGGCUGUGAUCAGUAGCCGUCCUGAGAGGGAGCACGGCCACACUGGAACUGAGACACGGUCCAGACUCCUACGGGAGGCAGCAGUGGGGAAUUUUUGGCAAUGGGCGAAAGCCUGACCAAGCAACGCCGCGUGGGUGAUGAAGUAUCUUGGUACGUAAAACCCUUUCGGCAGGAACGAACACAAUGACGGUACCUGCGGAAGAAGCCCCGGCUAACUCCGUGCCAGCAGCCGCGGUAAUACGGGGGGGGCAAGCGUUGUUCGGAAUUACUGGGCGUAAAGGGCGCGUAGGCGGCCUGUUAAGUCGAACGUGAAAUCCCCGGGCUCAACCCGGGAACUGCGUCCGAUACUGGCAGGCUCGAAUCCGGGAGAGGGAUGUGGAAUUCCAGGUGUAGCGGUGAAAUGCGUAGAUAUCUGGAGGAACACCGGUGGCGAAGGCGGCAUCCUGGACCGGUAUUGACGCUGAGGCGCGAAAGCCAGGGGAGCAAACGGGAUUAGAUACCCCGGUAGUCCUAGCUGUAACGAUGGAUACUUGCUGUGGGGGUGUUAAAUCCCCCUG